AAUUGCGUAGUUCCGGUUCCAUUGAAUAUCUGGCUGAUCUGAGGAUCGAAAAGUGUGGUCGCCCAUUCCGACUUUGUCAGUGGAAGAAGGCAGAAGCGGUCAGUAAUUGUGUACCGCGUAGUAAAAGAUUGAAGUGUGAUUAGAUUAGCGUGAUUAGCAUAAGUGUAUCAGUGUAUCAUUGUUACGCUGAAAGGGAUAGAUACUCUCCAGUGCACCAGCAAAUUAAAUUGGAGGGAGUACCGCUACUGACCCCACGUACGAGGUCCGGAAUUUUGCCGCCACACUCGUCAAUUCUGGUGGCCGCGCGGAGCGCUUACGCAAAACGGCACUCGCGCAAGAAAGGAAAUCAUCACAGGGUACGCAGCACGGAGCCAUCACUCGUCCGUGUGUGGACUCGAGAUUCAUUGUCCCGUUCAUCGUCUGCAGCGAACGACGGUAAAGCAGAACCACGUAAAUCCUAGGUCGUGAGUACAAAUCUAUUUAUUUCCGUAACUAAUACAUGCGCAUGUAGGGAAUAAAUAGAGACAGAAAAACCACACAAAACUAACGAAUGCCACACGAAACAAAAGCCACACUAAGUUGAAGCGUGUUCUGGAUGAUCCGAUAUCGAUGGUGAGCACAUGCCCAUCGGUAUAGAAGAACGCUUGGUCGAGGUGCAAACGUAGUGUAGAUAGGAAAUGCGCAGUUCCGAACCUCAGGGUCCGAUGUUCGAAACCCGAGGGAAAAUAAAAUAAAAAUAUGUAUAUGUUUAAAUUAAGGUUGUUGAAAUAAUCAUGUUUGUAUAAAAUUAUAUCGUCUGUAGUUGAAUGCUGUUUGAAUAUAUACAUGAGUUUG